rnacentral:rRNA from 1 species
UACGUAGGGUGCGAGCGUUAAUCGGAAUUACUGGGCGUAAAGGGUGCGCAGGCGGCUAUAUAAGACAGAUGUGAAAUCCCCGGGCUCAACCUGGGAACUGCGUUUGUGACUGUAUGACUAGAGUACGGUAGAGAGGGGUGGAAUUCCUGGUGUAGCAGUGAAAUGCGUAGAUAUCAGGAGGAACAUCGAUGGCGAAGGCAGCCCCUUGGACCUGUACUGACGCUCAUGCACGAAAGCGUGGGGAGCAAACAGG